rnacentral:lncRNA from 1 species
ACCAACCCCACUCCCCCAGACGUACCCAUUUGGCAUGUUGAACCACUCACCUACAGUACGGUAUGUCAUGGCAGCUCUCAUGUAUUAGAGGCAUCAGUCAAAGCUGAUGGGUCCAUGGAGCAGGACUCUCUCUGUGUGGUCUGAAAUCCUGGCAGCUGACAGCAAGUUGGUGCCAUGGCCGAGUGGAGGGACUAUUUUCAGUCUUCUGACCUCAUUUGGUCCUUGUUCUACCAAACGCAUAAUCUCCAGUGUAACAUGCAGUAUAUGAGACAUGCAGUAUAUGAGACAUGCAGUAUAUGAGACAUGCAGUAUAUGAGACAUGCAGUAUACGAGACAUGUAGUAUAUGAGACAUGUAGUAUAUGAAACAUGCAGUAUGAGACAUGCAGAUUGAGUAGUCGAGUCAAAUGCAGAGACGUUCAGGUGAAUGUGUGUGCAUGCACUCACACACACGCACAGACACGUCAUGUCCGAUUACCAGUUCAUGCAUUCUAAAUAGUAGCCAUUUUCUAAGUGAAAUUUUGAAAAAUAAGUAUGCUUUAAAUGCCAGGAUGUUACUCAUUUUCAGAGGUACUCACUCGCGCAUGCACACACAUAAACACACACACAGACCCACACACACACUGUACAGCCUAACAAGCCGACCAUGCGUUUACAUUUUACAUUUUUGUCAUUUAGCAGAUGCUUUUAUCCAGAGCGACUUACAUGGUUCAAUCUAUACACAUGACUGAUUUGAGGGACGUAACAAGUACCUUGACAGUGCUGAACACUUGUCAGAGCAUGUGGAGACAUUUUUAUUUUCCCUUUCUUUCCCUUGGCACAGUUUAGUCCCAGUGUUAGCCCAGCCUCUCUGCACUUCUCUCACACUCACAAACACACACCUGUUUAUUUCACUGUCAGGGCUGUCUGAACAUUGUCUUAUUUUGGUGCUGACACAGCCUUUCUGUCUUUCUUUUUUCUUUCUGUCUUUCUUUCUGUCUUUCUUUCUGUCUCUCUUCCUGCUUUUCUUUCUGUCUUUCCGUCUUUCUUUCUUUCUUUCUUUCUUUCUUUCUUUCUUUCUUUCUUUCUUUCUUUCUUUCUUUCUUUCUUUCUUUCUUUCUUUCUUUCUUUCUUUCUGUCUUUCUUUCUGUCUUUCUUUCUGUCUCUCUUCCUGAUUUUCUUUCUGUCUUUCCGUCUUUCUUUCUUUCUUUCUUUCUUUCUUUCUUUCUGUCUUUCUUUCUUUCUUUCUUUCUUUCUUUCUUUCUUUCUUUCUUUCUUUCUUUCUUUCUUUCUUUCUUUCUUUCUUUCUUUCUUUCUUUCUUUCUGUCUUUCUUUCUUUUUUCUGUCUUUCUUUCUGUCUCUCUUCCUGCUUUUCUUUCUGUCUUUCCGUCUUUCUUUCUUUCUUUCUUUCUUUCUUUCUUUCUUUCUUUCUUUCUUUCUUUCUGUCUUUCUUUCUUUUUUCUGUCUUUCUGUCUUUCUUUCUGUCUUUCUUGUCAGUAAACAACCAUCAUAGCUGUUUUUCUGUCACUAGAUGAAUAAUAUACAGUAGUCAGACAUUGAACCAUUGGCUUUAGACACAAAAUUUGAUUAACCAAUUUGACUUGUCACUCAACUUCUGUUUGUUGACCUUAGCUAGACUAUAGGGAUAGGGAUACAUCUAUGUUUUAAAAGCCUACUUUGCCAAAUUCAAGCCAUUUCCUAAUUUAGGGGUAUUUAUCUCUUGGCGUCAGCCAGGGACACUUAGGUAUUGUGGAGCUGAGUUUGUCAAAAUACAUUCCCCCGUGUACUGCCAGUGGAGAGUGACAAGCGUAUUUAAUACACCCUGAUUCGUCUACUGGGUGAACACUUAAAACCAAGGACUCCAGCAGCAUUGGACAACGGUCCAGAACAUGUUGGAGAUGCACUUCUACCGUCUCUGGACCAGCACUAGGCUCAGGUUAGAUAUCUUCUGGACCAGCACUAGAUUCAGGUUAGAUAUCUCCCAGACCAGCACUAGGCUCAGGUUAGAUAUCUCCCAGACCAGCACUAGGCUCAGGUUAGAUAUCUCCCAGACCAGCACUAGGCUCAGGUUAGAUAUCUCCCAGACUAGCACUAGGCUCAGGUUGGAUAUCUCCUGGACCAGCACUAGACUCAGGUUAGAUAUCUCAUGUACUAGCACUAGGCUCAGGUUUUAUAUCUCCUGGACCAGCUCUAGGCUCAGGUUGGAUAUCUCAUGUACUAGCACUAGGCUCAGGUUAGAUAUCUCAUAGACCAGCACUAGGCUCAGGUUAGAUAUCUCAUGUACUAGCACUAAGCUCAGGUUAGAUAUCUCCUAUACCAGCACUAGGCUCAGGUUAGAUAUCUCCUAGACUAGCACUAAGCUCAGGUUAGAUAUCUCCUAGACUAGCACUAGGCUCAGGUUAGAUAUCUCCUAGACCAGCACUAGGCUCAGGUUGGAUAUCUCCUGGACCAGCACUAGGCUCAGGUUAGAUAUCUCCUGGACCAGCACUAGGCUCAGGUUAGAGGACACCAGAGCAUAGCAUGUGAUAUAGACCUCAUAUAAAUACUUUUUCUGUCCACCUACUGGGAGGUCAUGGCGUUACAGAAGAAGGAAUGAGUGACACCUAUUGCAGAGCUUGGCUUUUCUACAUAUUUGCAUACUAGACUUCUACUGCAGAGCUUGGAUGGUCUACAUAUUUGCAUACUAGACUUCUACUGUCACAGUACAGUAUGACCAUACUGGAGACACAUAUUUCCUUCAGAUUACACAGACACACAAACAAUUCAGAACUUGUUGGCACACAUAUAAGCCUUUCUGCAAGCAGACUCAUUCACAGACCCACACACACAGUCAUUCAUGUAUAAAUCGCUCUCUCUCACUCCUUCUUUCUCUCUAUCUCUCUUUGUAUGUCUGUUUGUUUGUCUCUAUCUCACUAUCUUCUCUCUCUCUCUCUUUCUAUAUCUCACUAUCUCUCUCUCUCUCUCUCUCUCACUAUCUCUCUCUCUCUCUAUCUCUCUCUCUCACUUUCUUUCUCUUGGCCUGUCUCUCCUCUCUCCUCCCUCUCUCAGGCUCUACGUCUGGUUAUCCACCCUCCCCUCUCUGCCUCUGGUUAUCCACCCUCCCCUCUCUACGUCUGGUUAUCCACCCUCUCCUCUCUACAUCUGGUUAUCCACCCUCUCCUCUCUACGUCUGGUUAUCCACCCUCCUCUCUACGUCUGGUUAUCCACCCUCUCCUCUCUACAUCUGGUUAUCCACCCUCUCCUCUCUCUGUCUGGUUAUCCACCCUCUCCUCUCUACGUCUGGUUAUCCACCCUCUCCUCUCUACGUCUGGUUAUCCACCCUCUCCUCUCUACAUCUGGUUAUCCACCCUCCUCUCUAUGUCUGGUUAUCCACCCUCUCCUCUCUACAUCUGGUUAUCCACCCUCUCCUCUCUACGUCUGGUUAUCCACCCUCUCCUCUCUGUCUGGUUAUCCACCCUCUCCUCUCUACGUCUGGUUAUCCACCCUCUCCUCUCUACAUCUGGUUAUCCACCCUCCUCUCUAUGUCUGGUUAUCCACCCUCUCCUCUCUACAUCUGGUUAUCCACCCUCUCCUCUCUACGUCUGGUUAUCCACCCUCCUCUCUACGUCUGGUUAUCCACCCUCUCCUCUCUCUCUCUCUGUCUCAUUAUCCACCCUUCCCUCUCUCUCUCUCUCUCUCUCUCUCUCUCUCUCUCUCUCUCUCUCUCUGUCUGGGUAUGCACCCCCCCCUCUCUCUCUCUGGUUAUGCACCCCUCCCUCUCUCUCUCUGGUUAUCCACCCUCCCCCUCUCUCUCUCGCUGUCUUGUUAUCCACACUCCUCUCUCUCUCUCUGUCUGGUUAUGCACCCUCCCCUCUCUCGCUCUCUCUCUGUCUGGUUAUGCACCCUUCCCCCCUCUCUCUCUCUCUGUCUGGUUAUGCACCCUCCCCCCUCUCUCUCUGUCUGGUUAUGCACCCUCUCUCUCGCUCUCUCUCUCUCUGGUUAUGCACCUCUCCCUCUCUCUCUCUGGUUAUCCACCCUCCCCCCUCUCUCUCUCGCUGUCUUGUUAUCCACACUCCUCUCUCUCUCUCUCUCUCUCUCUCUGUCUGGUUAUGCACCCUCCCCACUCUCGCUCUCUCUCUGUCUGGUUAUGCAGCCUUCCCCCCCUCUCUCUCUCUGUCUGGUUAUGCACCCUCC